rnacentral:tRNA from 1 species
GGGGCUGUAGCUCAGUUGGUAGAGCGCAUCCAUGGCAUGGAUGAGGCCACGGGUUCGAUUCCCGUCAGCUCCA